rnacentral:rRNA from 1 species
GGCGGCGUGCCUAAACAUGCAAGUCGCACGAGAAAGUGGAGCAAUCCAUGAGUAUAGUGGCGCACGGGUGAGUAACACGUGAAUGAUCUACCUCCGAGUGGGGAAUAACCUAGAGAAAUCUGGGCUAAUACCGCAUAACACUUACGAGUCAAAGCAGCAAUGCGCUUGGAGAGGAGUUCGCGGCCGAUUAUUUAGUUGGCGGGGUAAUGGCCCACCAAGACGAUGAUCGGUAUCCGGCCUGAGAGGGCGCACGGACACACUGGAACUGAAACACGGUCCAGACUCCUACGGGAGGCAGCAGUGGGGAAUUUUGCGCAAUGGGGGAAACCCUGACGCAGCAACGCCGCGUGGAGGAUGAAAUCCCUUGGGAUGUAAACUCCUUUCGAUCGGGACGAUUAUGACGGUACCGGAAGAAGAAGCCCCGGCUAACUUCGUGCCAGCAGCCGCGGUAAUACGAGGGGGGCAAGCGUUGUUCGGAAUUAUUGGGCGUAAGGGGCGCGUAUGCGGUUUGACAAGUCUGAUGUGAAAUCUCUGCGCUCAACUCAGAGU